CACAAGUAAAUCACAUUUUUAUGUUGCAAUUAUAUGAAAUAACUUUUCCGUUCACAUUUUAUAAAUUAAGAAAGUGAGACAUUGAGCUGGGAGAACAGACCUAUAAUCCUAGCAAUUUAGGAGUCUGAGGCAGGACAAUCACAAACCCUCUGUCAAAAUUAAAAAAAAAAUAAAAUAAAGCUCAAUGGUAGAACACCACUGGGUUCAAUCCCCAGUACUAAAGAGAAAAAAACUAAACACAAGAAUUUGUGCUUUUAUCACAAAUUAUUUUACCUCCCAAAAUAAUCUGAACUAUCUGUCCACUUCAGAUAUCCGGAAUGCUAGAAUAAUUUACAUCUAAAGUCAAAUUCAUAAAUUCAUUAGAUCAUUUUCCAUUGGAAAACAUAUCUCAGAAUAAAUAAGUACAUCUUAGCUAUCUGUACUAAAAGCUUAUAGGCAAAAGAGUAAUCCUUCUGUAAGUUAAAUAAUUUGUUUUGUUUUUUUCUUCUUGUCAUCUCUGUUACUCAUUAUAGAUGUUUUUCAGUUUAUUAUGGGGUUAUAUCCCAAAAAUCCAUCAGAAUUACAAAUAUCAUUAAUUCAGAAAUAUAUUUCAUAUAUCUAAUCUAUCAGACAUCAUUGUUUAGUUUAGCCUAUCUAAAUGCGUUCAGAAUAUUGGCAUUAGCUUACAAUUGAGCAAAAUUUAAAAUGAAUCCUAUUUAAAAUUAAAGUAUUGAAUAUCUCCUGUAAUUUAUUUCAUACCAUGCUGAAUGUGAAAAAAAAUGGUUGCACAAGUAUAUUUUUAUACAACAGUAAUCUAAAAAUUGUUAAGUUGAGCCAUUGUAAAUCAAGUAUUGUCUAUUAAUAAGAAAUAUCUUCUUCACAGACACUUUUCAAAAUGUCAAAGGCAAUAAAAUAGAAUAAAUUGCAUUAUUCUCUUGUUAGCACCAUUAACAUAGAAAUAGUAAAUAUUAUGCAAUUCUUUAUUGGUUUUGUUUCAUGACCAAAUGCAAAUAAAUCUUUUUCAACAUUUAAUAAUAUGCAUUCAAUCUCAUAUCCAUGUUCUAUAAAUUGGCAUGUUUUGAAUUUCAUUCUAAUUUCAAAAAACCUUUUUGAUUGCAAGGUAUAAUUUUAAUAAUCGAAAUUGCUUUCCUGUAAGUAAAUUAUUUUCAGAGUACAGACUAGAUACCAGGAAAACGCAAUGAUCUAUUGUCUUUUAUGUCUACAAUUUGUUGAACAAGAAACUCUAAAUUAAGAGCUUAGAAAACAUCUUUGCUGGUAUUUGAAAUAAUUAGUUGUGAAAGUCACGGUCCAAGACCCUUUUAAGAUUUAGAUUUUAAGUGAUUUUUCUUCUACUUGUCAUGUCUUGACAUUUUAUCAUUUGGAAUUUAAGGAAGUAGAGAUUAUUGCCCUCCUUGGAACCCUGUAGACAAAUUGUAUUUAUGCUAGAGAGCCAAUAAUAUUAAAAAUAACCUGAUUUUUAUAGUCAAUCUAGUAGCUCUUCUGCCUGAAAAAAGGUUUGCCCACCUGCAUAAGAAUUUGCUCUGUGUUUAAGUAAAAUACUUUGUGUAAGUACUUUUUCAGAAUGCUAUUUUCAAGUGAGAAAUUAUCAUUGCUCAUUUGACCAGUAAAACCAAUGAUCUAUUAGGCACUUUUUAUUCAAGGUCUUAAGCACCUUCAAUUUAUUGUGCCUUCAAUUUAAUAAAUCUGUGCUUCCUCUGACCCCUUCACAACAUUUGAACAUGGUAUGGAAGAAUUAACUGAAGAUAUUAUUGUACAGUUUACUUCGUUUUUUUUUCUUUUUAAUAUCAAACUUCUAGAAUGUAAGUUCCUCAAGGGCAUGAAUCGUUUUCUGCUUUAGCCAUCAGUAAAUUCCUAGUAUCCAGAAAAUGCUAGGCUCAUAGUAGGUGCUUAAUUAAUACUGGAUGAAUGAAUAAGCAUCACCUUCCACUAGUAGGCCACAUCCCCGAGGGCUACAAUUUUGUGUGAGUCCCAAUUAUAUCUCUAGUGCUAGAGCAGGCAUGUUAACUGACAAGCCAAAUGGUGGCCUGAAUAAAAUGACACCUAUUUAAGUUAUUUUGUCACUAUAUUUAUAAAAGAGCCUGGGUGACAUACACAUUGAAGAAAGAAUCAGCCUUCUCUUUUGGUUUGUGACUACCCCCCUUUCUCAUGACAAAGGAUCAUUGCUUUCUCUCUCUAACCCUCAUUUCAUCUUUCUGUGUGUGUGUUUCCCUUUGAUAUGGCACAGUGAGCUCAGGUUCAUAAGAAAAUAGAAUCACAGUUUAAGAUCAUAUUGAUUCUGGAGAACAACUGAGGAUCCUGUUUUUUUCCUUGAAGAGUUGAUAGGGUGGAAUUCUAGAACCACCGUACGAUGUGCUUCUGAAGAAAAUUCAGGGGGUCAUGAAACUCUGGCUUAAUACCCCCAGAAAACCGCAAGUGUGUGGAUGCACCAGGAAGAGGGGGACAGGUGAUUCCUGCAGGAAUCACAAAGGGAAUACUCUGAAAUGGGCCAAAGUCUCAGAAAAGCUGUCAUAUUCGCAAGACACCGACCUCCUCAAUAUUUUUUUCAAGCUACCUGCCGAACAGAGAUGCAUCUUUAGAAAUUCUUCUAAAGCAUCCCAAGAAAUCAUAAAAUGAGGGUUAUCUGACAUUUGUCUAUAUACAAAUGAAAUGUUUAAUCUUUCACUAACAUUGGAAGGAAAAUCUUAUUUAAAAAGAUCUCUGGCAAGAGAUGUCAGAACUUCCAAAUUGUGUCUUCCUUGUAUGACCUGAAUAUGAUCUUUUAAAAUAAAAUGUUGGUAUUCUUAAAACAA